rnacentral:rRNA from 1 species
UACGGAAGGUGCAAGCGUUGUUCGGAUUGACUGGGCGUAAAGAGCACGUAGGCUGGUUCGUGUGUCGGUUGUGAAAGCCCCGGGCUUAACCUGGGAACUGCAAUCGAAACUGCGGAUCUUGAAUGCGCGAGAGGUUGGUGGAAUUCCAGGUGUAGGAGUGAAAUCCGUAGAUAUCUGGAGGAACAUCGGAGGCGAAGGCGGCCAACUGGCGCUGCAUUGACGCUGAGGUGCGAAAGCGUGGGGAGCAAAC